UAGGGAAUCUUCGGCAAUGGACGAAAGUCUGACCGAGCAACGCCGCGUGAGUGAAGAAGGUUUUCGGAUCGUAAAACUCUGUUGUUAGAGAAGAACAAGGACGUUAGUAACUGAACGUCCCCUGACGGUAUCUAACCAGAAAGCCACGGCUAACUACGUGCCAGCAGCCGCGGUAAUACGUAGGUGGCAAGCGUUGUCCGGAUUUAUUGGGCGUAAAGCGAGCGCAGGCGGUUUCUUAAGUCUGAUGUGCAAGACCCCGGCUCAACCGGGGAGGGUCAUUGGAAACGGGGAGACUUGAGUGCAGAAGAGGAGAGUGGAAGUCCAUGUGUAGCGGUGAAAUGCGUAGAUAUAUGGAGGAACACAAGUGGCGAAGGCGGCUCUCUGGUCUGUAACUGAAGCUGAGGCUCGAAAGCGUGGGGAGCAAACAGG
rnacentral:rRNA from 1 species